CCUGUUUGUUGGUUCCAUCCCGCUGUCGGUUCCAUUCUAGGGUUUGGUUUCGGCGUUUGCUAUCGCUUGCUUUGGUCUCCGGCCGAGAGCCGUUUCAGCUCCUUCUUCCGCUUCUUCAGCUUGUUGUUAUGGCUCCGUCUCUGGAGAUACCAAUCAUCUAUUUGGACUUGCAACUUUCAUGGCCACCUCUCAAUGAAAGGAUUCUUUCAUCCAUGUGCAGAAGGUCUGUUGCAGCACAUCCUUGGCAUGAUCUUGACAUAGGUACUUGAUAUUCUUAUAAAAGGUUUCGUAUGAUUAUUUAUUUAUUUUGCCUCUCCCUGCUGCUGUCUUCUUAAAUGGACUUUGGAUUCCAUGGAUUCGACAUGCAGGUCCUGAAGCUCCUAUGAUAUUUAACUGUGUAAGGUCUCUACACUUCGUUUAAUGUGACUUAUUAUGAAGUUUGAUGCUUAGCAAUGGACCUAAAUGAGAUGUUAUCACAUACAUGGGGGACAGAUCCGCUUGGUUUGUCAUGAAAACCAAGUUCUUGUACGCUAGCUUCAAAUGUUGGGUCACCCUGUUCUUGUAAUCUAUGAGCUUUCCGAUCAUCACUUGAUUGGAUGAAAGAUAUGAUACUUUGAAUUUGUAGUUAUGUGGAUAAUCAUGAUACAUUACAUUUGCACUUACAAUAUGAACCAGAAGUAAAGACAGCAGAUUUCUGCAGGUAGUAGAAAUAGGAAGGGGAAGCAAAGUGAAAUAUGAACUUGACAAGAGAACUGGGCUGAUAAAGGAACCAGUAAUUCCAGGAUGUUUUAUUCGAGCUAAAGCCAUAGGUCUGAUGCCUAUGAUUGAUCAGGUCUGGCUUGGUUAGACAAGUUGGAGAACUGAUUUUGUAAAUUGAAGCAUUAGUGAUUCACAUAUUGUUAUAUAAUGCUUCUGACGAUUGCUUAACUUUGGUAAAAGCCAUGUUGAUGCAAUUUAUGAUGUUGGAAACGGGGAGAAAGAUGACAAGAUAAUUGCUGUUUGUGCGGAUGACCCUGAAUACAACCAUUACAAUGAUAUCAACAAGCUGCCAUGUCAUCGUUUAGCUGAAAUCAGGAGUUUCUUUGAAGAUUGUAUCCUUGUAUAUCUACUAACACAGACUAAACAUGACCAACUUUUUUGCAGUUUAUUUAAAUAAGCAUACAAAUACUGUCAAUUGAAUCACUGGACUUAUGUUUCUAGAACACUGGUGUGUGUUGCUAAAGAGACUCGAAUGCUGAUGUCUCUCACAAAAUUAUGUGCCAUUAGAGGUUUUGCUUCAUCAAAGCCUGUCCUUGAACAAGAUAUUCAGAUAAGAAAAAGGAGAACAAGUUGCUGUGAAUGACAUCCUGCCUGCAUCUUCAGCUUAUAAAGAAAGCCAUACAACACUCCAUGGACCUUUAUGGCACUUGCAUUGUCGAAUACUUGAGGAAGUAGGAGGCAUCUUGACAAAUGGAGCUGAAAGUAAUUGGUCAUUUCCACAUAGUGAUUUUAUAUACGGCAGCUAUCAUUUAGUAAUAGUUACAUAUGAUACGCAAAAGUGACUGCUCAUAUUCUGCAUCGCAUGGUUGUGGUAACAUUUAGUACAAAAUUUUGUGGAGCUAAAUAGAAAUCUGAAGUGCAUAUAUCAAAUAGGCAUUUCACAAUUUUGGAUGUGCUAGUUUUACCAGCAAAUAUGAACAACACAUGGAUGUUCUAUGAACAUGACUUAUCAUUUGGAGAUUUAUUAUACAUACCAACUUCUUCCAUUGGAAUCAAUAU